GAAACCUGCCCAGAAGCGGGGGAUAACACCUGGAAACAGAUGCUAAUACCGCAUAACAACUUGGACCGCAUGGUCCGAGCUUGAAAGAUGGCUUCGGCUAUCACUUUUGGAUGGUCCCGCGGCGUAUUAGCUAGAUGGUGGGGUAACGGCUCACCAUGGCAAUGAUACGUAGCCGACCUGAGAGGGUAAUCGGCCACAUUGGGACUGAGACACGGCCCAAACUCCUACGGGAGGCAGCAGUAGGGAAUCUUCCACAAUGGACGAAAGUCUGAUGGAGCAACGCCGCGUGAGUGAAGAAGGGUUUCGGCUCGUAAAACUCUGUUGUUAAAGAAGAACAUAUCUGAGAGUAACUGUUCAGGUAUUGACGGUAUUUAACCAGAAAGCCACGGCUAACUACGUGCCAGCAGCCGCGGUAAUACGUAGGUGGCAAGCGUUGUCCGGAUUUAUUGGGCGUAAAGCGAGCGCAGGCGGUUUUUUAAGUCUGAUGUGAAAGCCUUCGGCUCAACCGAAGAAGUGCAUCGGAAACUGGGAAACUUGAGUGCAGAAGAGGACAGUGGAACUCCAUGUGUAGCGGUGAAAUGCGUAGAUAUAUGGAAGAACACCAGUGGCGAAGGCGGCUGUCUGGUCUGUAACUGACGCUGAGGCUCGAAAGUAUGGGUAGCAAACAGGAUUAGAUACCCUGGUAGUCCAUACCGUAAACGAUGAAUGCUAAGUGUUGGAGGGUUUCCGCCCUUCAGUGCUGCAGCUAACGCAUUAAGCAUUCCGCCUGGGGAGUACGGCCGCAAGGCUGAAACUCAAAGGAAUUGACGGGGGCCCGCACAAGCGGUGGAGCAUGUGGUUUAAUUCGAAGCUACGCGAAGAACCUUACCAGGUCUUGACAUACUAUGCAAAUCUAAGAGAUUAGACGUUCCCUUCGGGGACAUGGAUACAGGUGGUGCAUGGUUGUCGUCAGCUCGUGUCGUGAGAUGUUGGGUUAAGUCCCGCAACGAGCGCAACCCUUAUUAUCAGUUGCCAGCAUUAAGUUGGGCACUCUGGUGAGACUGCCGGUGACAAACCGGAGGAAGGUGGGGAUGACGUCAAAUCAUCAUGCCCCUUAUGACCUGGGCUACACACGUGCUACAAUGGAUGGUACAACGAGUUGCGAACUCGCGAGAGUAAGCUAAUCUCUUAAAGCCAUUCUCAGUUCGGAUUGUAGGCUGCAACUCGCCUACAUGAAGUCGGAAUCGCUAGUAAUCGCGGAUCAGCAU
rnacentral:rRNA from 1 species